rnacentral:rRNA from 1 species
CGUAGGGUGCGAGCGUUAAUCGGAAUUACUGGGCGUAAAGCGUGCGCAGGCGGUUUUGUAAGACAGGCGUGAAAUCCCCGGGCUCAACCUGGGAACUGCGCUUGUGACUGCAAGGCUAGAGUACGGCAGAGGGGGGUGGAAUUCCACGUGUAGCAGUGAAAUGCGUAGAGAUGUGGAGGAACACCAAUGGCGAAGGCAGCCCCCCUGGGUCGAUACUGACGCUCAUGCACGAAAGCGUGGGUAGCAAACAGGAUUAGAUACCCUGGUAGUCCACGCCCUAAACGAUGUCAACUAGGUGUUGGGUGGGUAAAACCAUUUAGUACCGGAGCUAACGCGUGAAGUUGACCGCCUGGGGAGUACGGCCGCAAGGUUA